AUAUUAUAUAUUUUAUUAUUGUUAGUUGAUGUUUUAGAAUUAUAGAAUAAUAUUUAAUAAUCAUUUUAUUGUUUGUGUAUAUAGUUUAUAAAAUAAUUAUUUUUUUAUAGAGUAUUAGUACUGUAUUGGAAUUAUAAAUAUAUAUGUUAUAGUUUAUUUCAUUUAUUGUACCUUGUGUAUCAGGAUAUACUGAAUUUAUAUAUAUAUAUAUAUAUUUCUCGAUUUUGUAGGAGUUAAUUAAUUAUUAUAAAUUAUUGUUGUAUAAAUAUUUAUAAUAAUUAAUUGGUAAUGAGAUGUUAUUCGUUUAUAAUGGUAUCUAGUUGUUCAGGAAAUAAAUUUAAUUUAUACACUUUUUUUUAUUUAUUUAAGUUUUAAAGGGUUUUAAUUAGUGUAAUUAUUUAAUGGGAUUAGCUUUUAAAUAUAUAUACUAUAAUUUUAUUAUUAUUAUUAUUAUUUAAUUUUUAUGGGAUUAAUAGUGUCUAUUUAUUUGAUAAUAUAAAAUUUUUAUUUAGUUGUUUAAAAUUUUUUUUUAAUUUAGUGUGUUUAUUGAUAAAUAUUUAUAUAUAAUAAAGAAUUAUUUGUAAUUAUGGUUUAAUUAGUAUAUAAUAUAUUUAUAUUUUGUAUUAAUAUUUUAAUUAUGUUUAAAUAAUUUGGCAAAUAUUAUGUCCGAUUGUUUAUCAAAAACAUUGUUUUUUGUUACAUUAUUAUAAAAUAAAACCUGCCCACUGAAAUUUUAUUAAAUGGCCGCGGUAUUUUGACCGUGCAAAGGUAGCAUAAUAAUUAGUUUUUUUAUUGAGGACUGGCAUGAAUGGUUAAACGAGAUGUAUUCUGUUUCAUAUAUAAAUUUUAUUGAAAUUGAUUAUUGAGUUAAAAGGCUUAAAUUUUUGUUAUGGGACGAGAAGACCCUAUAGAGUUUCACAUAAUUAUAUCUAUAUAUGUUUAUUAUUAUAUUUUAUUUAUAUUAUUGUUUUAUUGGGGUGAUGGAAAGAUAUAUUGAACUCUUUUUUGAUUAAAUAUUUAUUUAUAGUUUUGUAAUCCAUUAUUAUUGAUUAUAAUACUAAAUUACCUUAGGGAUAACAGCGUUAUUUUUUUUGAAAGUUCUUAUUUACAAUAAAGAUUGCGACCUCGAUGUUGGAUUAAGAUAAAUUGAAUAUGGGUGUAGAAGCUUAUAAUAUUAAGUCUGUUCGACUUUUAAAAUCUUACAUGAUCUGAGUUCAGACCGGUUUAAGCCAGGUUGGUUUCUAUCUAUAAUUUAUAUUAAAUAUUUUAGUACGAGAGGACCAAAUAUUUUAAAUAAUUUUUAUUUAUUUUAUGUUA
rnacentral:rRNA from 1 species